rnacentral:lncRNA from 12 species
AGCCCCUCAUUCUCCUGCCUCCUGGCCCAUCUGCAAAAGUAGCUGCGUUGAGCCUCCUCCAGGGGAAUGUGCAACCCAGAGGCUUGUCCACAACAGAAAGAUCCAACUGCUUGUCUCUUCUCAUCUGGGAGUUCAAGUGAACACCUCAUAUCUGCAUCGGUGUUAACUCACUACCAUCCCGAAGAGCCUUUUCCGGUGCCUUUGCUUCAGAGGGCUGGAUCUGCAACUCAGAGGACUUCUGUGACUUUCCAGAAGUCAGGGGCUGACAUGGGAUAGAGCUGGGGGCCCUGGUUCCAUGUGGGGAUGUCACUCAGCUUGAUUAAGGGAUGUUUUCCUGCUUUGAGGUCAGAACCAGGUAAGACUCUAGUAUCUUCCUUCUCCCCCUCCCCAAUUCCCCUCUUCCUAUAAUGGAUAAUGUCAACUUCCCUCUGAGAUUAGGAGGGAAAAGGAGCUGGACUCUUAGUUAUCAGCUUUGAGCUUCUUACCCUACCUGGCCUGGUGAAAUUCUGUAGGGUAGAGGGGACAGAAAUGAACUGGGGUCUGCCCCUGGGGCGGCUCAGGCACUUGUUAGGGGAGCCAGCUGCAGGGGCCAGCAGGAGCCCAGAGUACAGUGUGGGAGAGGGGAUACAGCAGGUGAUGGCCCAGGGAACCCUUAGAGCUGGGGGUCCCAAAGCAAAAUGGCUAGGUUGCCCCUGCAAGUAGGGCACAGCACAGGAGUCAUAGGAUACACAGGUGGGUCCAUUGUUGGUGUGGAACCAGUCUGUUAGGGGUCUUCACCACCGUUAGGGCUCCAGGUCAUGAGGAGGAAAUGGAAAAAGCAGAGAGGAUAUAUUGAUAUCUGCUCUAAUGGACUGGUAGGGGCUGUCUGGAGUCUGGCUUCUGCAGAAAAAGUAGGCAAGAGUCAUGUUAUUGAUUAACAACAGCUACCAUGGAGGACCCUGGGGAAGAUUUGUGAUCCCUGGGCAAGAACACACAGCUCCCAGAGGAAGGAAUUCACCAGAAGACUGGUGGAGAGACCUAGGUCCUCAGGGUAGAAGAAAGGGGGUCUCAAGAGCAAGGUAGAGGGGCACCUGGGUGGCUCAGUUGAUUGGGCAUCUGACUUCAGCUCAGGUCAUGAUCCCAGGGUGCUGGGAUUGAGCCCCACAUUGGGCUCCUUGCUCAGUGAGGAGUCUGCUUCUCCUCCCUCCACUGCUCCCCCCGCCCCCACUUGUGUUAUCUCUCUCAAGUAAAUAAACAAAAUCCUUAAAAAAAAAAAAAAGGUAGA